rnacentral:lncRNA from 1 species
GUAGACAUGUGCACACAUGGACACACUUAAUAAACCAAUGAUAUUUUGGUGGAAUUUUUAUUCCACCUCAACUUAUUUCAUCUUUAAUAUAUAAAGUGCUCAUCUCAACUCAUAAAUCAGGACAUGCAUUGUGAAGACCAUAGGUUGAAUUUCUUUUCUUAACUGCAGCCCAUCAACCCCCUUUCUGAGUGGCAGCUCUGGGAAGACAGGCUGGCUCCUGCAUCAAAAGCUGUGGUCCAGAAGCCCUAAUCUGUCUGCAUCUAAGGAUGUCCUGGCUGGGAAAGGGGUGGCCAGGACAGCAUGCCUCUCCAUAGGCCCAGAGGCUCCUCCUUCCUCCAGAGGCUCAGUAUCGGGGUGGCUGCUAGGAAUUCAGGGUUCACUCUUCCCUAUUGUCCUUCUCCCCAUUAGGUUCCCUUCAAAGGAAGAAAUACCAGGAGAGGCAAUAACACCUGCUCAGUGCCUGUGUCCCAGGCACUGUCCUGAAACUUUAUGUUCAUUAAUUCCAUUUAAUCCUCAUAAGAAAUCUAUUGAUUACAUUCUCACUUUUUAGAUGAGGAAACUACAGGCAUAGAAAGGCUCUGUCACCUGCCCAAGGCUUGCAUGGUGUGACUCUAGCAUGCCUAUGGGCACUUCUGAAGGUGCUUUAGGGGUGGCCGUGCAAAGGCCAGGCAUGGUAUCAGAGCACACACAGGAGCCUGUGCAGCUGGGCUGCUUGCUGCAGGUUUGUGGCUCUAGCUCUGGACAGUGGUAGAAGAAGGGGGUUAGAAUCUGUGUCUUGCCCAUUGUAUCAGUUAACUUCUGUUGCGUUAUAAAAAAACGCUCUCCCAACACAUACCCACGUGGUGUUUAACACAACAAUUUUGUUAUGCCUCUGGUUAUUCAGGGGCUCAGGAAUUCAGAUGACCACAGCAUGGAUGGCUUUUCUCUGCUCCUUGACUUCUGGGACCUCGGCUGGUAAGGGACUUCUCAGUUGGAAUCACUGCCUGGAACUUGCGGCAGGAAUUUAGGACUGCCCACUGGCAUAUUCACAGGUAGCUUCCCUGUGUGGUGUUGUUUCUUCACAGCAUGGUGGCCUUGGAGUGGGUGGAUUUCUUAUAUGGCAGUCCUGAGAUCAGGGAAGUUCCCACAAAUAAAGCAGAGGCUUCAUGGACCUUUUUGACUUCAUCUUAGAGUCACAGACUGAUACUCCCACCAUGUUCUACUGCUUGAAUAUGAUUUAAGGGAAGGGACACAGACCCUCCAGUGAUCAUUGGCAGGAAUGCCCAAGAAUUUCAUGGUUGUUGUUAUUUCUCUUUUUGGGGGAUUGGGGGCUGGGGAUUGAACUCAGGGACACUUGACCACUAAGCCAUAUCCCCACCCUAUUUUGUAUUUUAUUUAGAGACAGAGUCUCUCUAAGAUGCUUAGUGCCUUGCUCUUGCUGAGGCUGGUUUUGAACAUGAGAUCCUCCUGCCUCAGCCUCCAAAGCCCCUGGGAUUACAGGUGUGUGCUGCAGUGCCAGUGCCUGGCCCAUGGUUAUUAUUUUUAACUGCCAUAUCUGUCGUUCCUCAAAUGGGUGUUAGCUGCCUAAAAUAAACUGAUCUUCAUUUGGGUUUUUAGGGGGCCCUCAGCAGAAUGGCUGGCUCCUCCUUUAUCAGGAAGAGGCAACCCCAAACCACCACAUAUUUGGAGGAAUCCUGCUGUACAGAAGUGAACCACCGAAGCACACAGAAGAGUGAUAGGAGAGGAAGUAGAGAUAAUUCAGGAAACAGAAGAGAACCCUAGAAACUAGGAAAUUAAUCUUCCAAGAUUUAUUAAGACAUUGUAAAAAUAGGGACUGAGUGUUGGAAAAAAUGGAAAUGAGAACAAGAAACAAAACUUAGAAAAUAAAUAUAAAGAAAAGAAAGACAAUGGAAAAGACAAAGUUUAGAAGGUAAUGUUUGUCUCUUAGACUGCAGAGUAAACAAAGGAAAGAGGCAGAGAUAAUGACAGGAUUAACACAAGGAUUUCCACACUUGUCUAAUAGGAAUUCCAGGAAGAAUGAAAAAUGGACAUGUAGGCUGGGGAAUGAAUACAGGAAAACUCAGGCUUGAUGGACAAAGUUCUGAACAACAAAAGUGUCAUGAAGUGUUAGUGGGUUGGGGGAAGAUCAGUACCUAGACACAUUCUCUUGAAAAUCCAGAACAAUGGGAGAGAAGAUUCUUCAAGCUUCUAGAGAGGACACAAUCAGUCAACUGCAGAGGAACAGGGUAAGACUGGCCUUAUAUUCACCAUUAGCACAACAUGGAACAAAAUGUCCAACCUUCUUAGGGAAAUUAAUCUUCUUUCUGAGAUUUAGUAUAAAAAUUUUCAGACAUAAGCAAAAUUGGAAGGAACAUAGCCAGGUGCAGUGGCGCACGCCUGUAAUCCCAGCAUGAAGAAGAAGAAGAAGGAGAAGGAGAA